rnacentral:rRNA from 1 species
UACGGGGGGGGCAAGCGUUGUUCGGAAUUACUGGGCGUAAAGGGCGCGUAGGCGGCCUUCUAAGUCAGACGUGAAAUCCCUCGGCUCAACCGAGGAACUGCGUCUGAUACUGGAAGGCUUGAAUCCGGGAGAGGGAUGUGGAAUUCCAGGUGUAGCGGUGAAAUGCGUAGAUAUCUGGAGGAACACCGGUGGCGAAGGCGGCAUCCUGGACCGGUAUUGACGCUGAGGCGCGAAAGCUAGGGGAGCAAAUGGG